AUCUACACACGUACUUACAACACCAAAAAUUCAAUAUUCAAUUACUUUUCAGAUAAUUUUCCGAUCAUUUUGAAUUUAUCUGUGCUUUAAGAUGGCAUUCAAAUGUGUGCAUAUACCAAAAGUGAUUUUUUUAGAUUUCGGAGAAAGUAAAGAAGCUAUGUUAAAAAAACAAAGGGGCUAACAAUCGAUCCCGGAUUUCUAAUAACCGAAGGGACUCUAAUAGUCUCUGAGAUCGACUCAAUUUUCGAUGUCGAUCAGAAAUGUAUUUAUCCUUAAAUGUCGUAGAUGUCUUUCUAUACAACGAACUUGAAAUUUCAAUUCCUAACUGAAUAUUUAUUUGUUUACCUGAACU